rnacentral:rRNA from 1 species
UACGGGGGGGGUAAGCGUUGUUCGGAAUUACUGGGCGUAAAGGGCUCGUAGGCGGCCAACUAAGUCGGACGUGAAAUCCCUCAGCUUAACUGGGGAACUGCGUCCGAUACUGGAUGGCUUGGAUUCGGGAGAGGAAUGCGGAAUUCCAGGUGCAGCGGUGAAAUGCGUAGAUAUCUGGAGGAACACCGGUGGCGAAGGCGGCAUUCUGGACCGACAUUGACGCUGAGGAGCGAAAGCCAGGGGAGCAAACGGG